CAAGGCCUAUGAUGGAUUAUGAUAACAUGCCUACAUUGUCUGAUCAUACAAGUUUGAUUGAGCAAUAUGAACUGAGGCCUUG
rnacentral:snoRNA from 1 species